CACUCCAGUGUAGUCGGGGAGUGAGAGAGCACUCUCAGAUAUUUAUAUUUAAUUGGGUUCUUAUUUUGAUCUUGUUUCUCCAGACUGCGUGGUGCCUUAUAUAUAAUUAAUUACUGAAGAUGGAGUACGAUGCUGCAGUGGUGGGCGGGGGUGUAAUGGGCUACAGCACAGCACUGGAACUGGCGCGGCACGGCGCCCGAACUGUCCUACUUGAGCAGUUUCCAUCCCCCCACACGCGGGGAUCGAGCACAGGACAGAGCAGGAUCACUAGGAUCGCAAACUGCGGCGCCCAAGAAAUGAAUGCCAUCAUGGCCGCUGCUCUCGAGGCGUGGAGAAAUAUCGAGAAAGAAAUAAACAAGGAGCU
rnacentral:lncRNA from 1 species